rnacentral:tRNA from 1 species
GGGCCCUUAGCUCAUUUGGCUAGAGCGCCUCGUUUGCACCGAGGAGGUGAGGGGUUCGACUCCCCUAGGGUCCACCA